UAAAAUUGCAUGUUGUUACUUAAUCCUCAUGCACAUUGAUCUUGUUUUAUGCCUCUUUAAGGCGGUGGUUCAGCGUGAUGGCAACAAGCUGAUGGUUAGCCUGAAGGGAAUUGAGUCUGUCACAGAACUGGUGGAUGGAAACACAAUUGUCAAUACUAUGACUCUUGGCAGCAUUGUGUACAAGAGGACCAGCAAACUCAUGUAAAUAUGUGCAUAUGGGAUAAUAAAAACGGUAACAUAAAAAGCAGCACUAUCUUGAUUUCUGAGGACUUUUAGAAACUGCUUGUUGCUUUUGUGUACUGGAACAAAAGGAGAGCUGUAAGAUCAUGGGACUGGAUGCCUGUUGUGAGGGUGACGUGUUUAGAAUUAGCUAAAGGCCACUUUAAACUUGACUGCAGGAUGACAUGCGCUAAUGACAUGAGCAUCAUGUGCUGGGGGGGGGGGCGAAUCAACUUUUUAUUUUUUAUUUUUUUUGUUUUCUUGUUUUUUACUCCUUGCAGAACAUGACAAAUUGUUUUAGCACUUCACACACAAGCCAACGAGAUGAGCGUCUUAACCUAUUUCAAAAUGAACUGCUGCAAUCAAACCACCCUUUUUCAAAAUGGCACUUGUGCAACAAAAUGAUUCACUGGUACAGUAUGAAUUAUUUUGCAGAAACACACUGACUAACUUCAUACCAAAUGCUGCUGUCUUAUUCCUCAUACAGGCAUUUCAGGAAAAUAUGAAUAAAAUGCUUUUGUUUUAUUUUUGCAAUUGCAUGUUUUCACAACAGACAGAAGUAGAAUUAAUGGCUUAUUGUAAAAUGCCUGCAAUGGAAAUUAUGGUUUUGGACCCUGCCUUCUGUUGGGGUCUGGCCGCAUCGCCUCCUCCACAGUACACGCAAUGUUGUUCGUGUGAGGUAACUUGAGGUCUUUCUAGUGCUGAGGGUCACAUUGAUUUGUGUUCAAUUAAUGAUUGCUUGUAUCUGUGUUGCCAAUUCAAGGAGCCUGAUAAGUGUUUCCCAAAAUGUUAUUUAUGUUCUAUACUGCUAAAACAACCUGGGGUCAAAUUGAUCCCAAAGAACACUGUGUACAGGACAUUGAAAACAUGGUAAUUUUAUGUUUACCCAGUUGUCCCCAUUAAAUUAGGAAAAGUCAUGAAAUAUGACGCAAAACAAAUGUCAAUUUAUUUGGAGAUGUUAAACAUUGAGGUCAACUUGAUCCCAAAAGUAACAGGAGGGUUAAAUGACAAAACAUCAAACCUGACAAUUGGGAAUGAACAGCCUCACCUUACUGAAUGAAAUGAUGUAAAGUGUUUCGUCUCUCAGCUCUCUGUAUAUAUGUGUAUAUAUAUAUGGUUUGGUCUCCCCCAGCUCCCUCUGACCUUGUUUCCAUAAUAAAAGUUGAGGGAAACAGAUUAUGAAAACAAAUCUUUCUAACAAAU